GAACGAACUCUGAAACCAGCCGGCCACUCCUCUCUGGCCCGAGCAGGCUCUGUGUGCGCCCUGCAGCAGUGUCCAAGCCCCCGCCCUCUUGGCACUUGGGUUCUUGUUCUGCGUCCAGGAAGAAUUAGAUCACAUGAAGGGAUUAAAAGACUUACCUCUCUUUGAAAACAGAAGAUUGAGACUGAUUUAUUGGUAUGGAUAAUACAAAAGCAAACUACUCAAUUCCUCCACAUCUUAGGGGAUUGGCUUUGGAUUAGAGGUGCCAGAAGGAACCAGAUUGUGAGGCUUCUUGAUCUGGAACUCCCUAGACUCUGG
rnacentral:lncRNA from 10 species